UACGUAGGGUGCGAGCGUUGUCCGGAAUUAUUGGGCGUAAAGAGCUCGUAGGCGGUCUGUCGCGUCGGUCGUGAAAACUUGGGGCUUAACCCUGAGCUUGCGGUCGAUACGGGCAUGACUGGAGUUCGGCGGGGGAGACUGGAAUUCCUGGUGUAGCGGUGAAAUGCGCAGAUAUCAGGAGGAACACCGGUGGCGAAGGCGGGUCUCUGGGCCGAAAUUGACGCUGAGGAGCGAAAGCGUGGGGAGCAAACAGG
rnacentral:rRNA from 1 species